UUUCAAGGAGGUGUGAAAGUUCUUCGAAUUUCCGCAUCUUAUAAAGAUAUUUCCAUUUUACUGUUUAAGGGGUGUUUAGGGCAGUUCAAUUACCGAACUCAAAUGUUGCGACGAUGUUAGGGCGUUUUACCGUAAAAUGUAGUGCGGCAUAUAGCAACCCCCAUAAGUUUGGUGAUCUAGUUGCAUUGUUCGACAUAUUUAGUUGUUAACUCGCCAUUUUUUUUACUAAAAAAAACUAAUGAUAUUUCACCACAUAGUUUUUGUACCGGAUGCAUGUUUCCACCGAAAUGUCCGCAUUUAAUUAUUCUUACGAAAGGCGUGAAGAAAAGAAGUUUGCUCUACCAUCUCUUCCUCCAUUGUUUCUUCUUCCGAAAUCUAAACAAACAUCUAAAAAGCUUCAUCUGGACUGAAAGACAAUGUUACAAUACUCCAAUAAAUAACCCAUAAACAAGCUCAACCGAAAGAAUUACUUACAUUAUGUGUUGACAGAGAAGCUAAUGUUGGGGUUGUUGUUGCAUUGGUUAGCGGAUGAACAUUUCUUAAGGGGGUACCCAUUUGUGAUCUCCUCAUUGCACAACUGAAUCUAAGCACCUAGUGAAGUAUGAACUGUCCCUUAAGCCUUAACAAAACAAUAAAGCAAAAGGCGAAAUUAACUACACACCUAACAAGUAAUAAAUAAGCCGAAAUAUGGAACUUAAUUAGCUGCGUAGAACAUUAUGAAAAGGGAUUGAGAAACUAAGCUUACCCAGACACGAGUUACUGUGUUGUGGUCGCCGGAUCGGAGAUCAGAGCUGUACUUAGAAACUAGAGAUGAAGAAGCAAAUCGAGGUGGAGUCUUGUCGGUCUACAAGAAGAAGAAGCAAAGUUAUCAUCUCGUCGAUCGCCGCCGCAUCGAUUUGGGAAUUUGACGAGGAGGAUUCGGGUAUGUUGCGAAUUGGAGAUUUGGAUGCUCACUUUUCAGAUUUGGGAAUCGAGGUGGUGGAUUUGGGAAUUGGAGAAGAAGAAGCAAACUGAGGCGGAGUCUACAAGAAGAAUAAGAAGCAAAAUCGUGAAAAUUAAGGAUUUCAAUGUUUCACUUUUUAGAUUUGUAUGUCUUUCACUUGCAGUUUGCGGUUUGAAACCAGAAACCAUAGUAUUAAAUCAAAUCAAACCGCGUGUUAUUAAUUGGGAAACAACCACACCACAUGUUAAACCACAAUGCGGUACUGCGGUGCGGUUGUGGUGUAAAUAAAUUGUGAUUCGACGGUGCAGGUAAACCGAUUUGGUGCCCGCCCAAAA
rnacentral:lncRNA from 1 species